UAGGAUUAGCCAAAAAGUUCAUUUGGGUUUUUCUGCACAAUGUUACAGAAAACCCGAACGAACUUUUUGGCCAACCCAAU
rnacentral:miRNA from 1 species